GCCAAUUUGAUUACAAAUUGCGAAUGUCAAACAAAAUUGUAAAAAGUUAAUAAAAGAAUAUGUGAAAUAUUUUUGCGAAAUGCAUUUAUUAUUGGAAAAUAGUGUUAAUUAAGCUUUUUUAUAUGUAUUGUCCAAAGCAAAUACACAGAAUAUAGUGAAUUAAGUGCACAAAUCGCAUAAACGCAAAAGGAGUCACAGAAGCAGACAUAACCCUUUAUAUGCGUAGACACAAGCAACCAUUAUUCGACUGAUUAACUACAACAAUUUUUCAGAAUAACAACAAAAAAAACGGCAAUUAAAAUUUGAGAACGAAACGAGUGUCAAAAAAAUGCGGCUUAUGAUAAAUAGUUUAAGAUGCUCGAAAACCUAAUAUCCAAGUGACAAAAAUUCUAUUAUUUGAACAUCACCCCCCCCUACAUUAUCAAUAGCAUGACUAGCUAAACGCGAGAAGCAUCAUUGGCCACACUUAAUUUACGGCAUCGCGUGUAAAGUCAAAAAAGCAAUUGAUCAGAAUAAAAGCAAGCGAUAAAAGCUUUCGAUAAGUCAAUUCAGCUGCAUCAACAACAUUUACAAAGCAAUAAGUUAUUGGAAAUAUUCAAAAUCCCCAGAAGCUUACUUCCGCAAACAGCUCCCAAUAAUUCAAAUUUCAUGUCUCCUGCUGAAAACUCUUUAAACGCAAUAGAUUUCUUAAUAAAAAUGGAAGAAGUUGUUUGAAUUUUGGGUCUCCAGCUGUAAUGUAAAGAUAAAACUAACAUAUUUCAUAACAAAAAUGGAAGAUGUUAAUCGCAUUAAUCGAUUCCCGGGUCUCCAGCUAAAAAUUUCUCCAAACACAAAAGAUUUCAUAAGAAAAAUGAACGAAGUUUCCAGGUUAAAAGUGCUUUAAAACCAACAGAUUUCAUAACAAAAAUAAAGAAAGUUGAGCGAAAAAAGAAGAAAUUAUGAGAACUAUGCCAUCUUGCUGUAAUUUUCCGAAAUUCAGUCUCUGCAGAAGCAGAAGAAGAGGAUUAGAAGCACCUCUGUAGAAGAAGCAUUUCUUAUAAGCUUAAUAAAAUCC